GGUUAGUUUUACCCUACUGCUGUCCGCUUUUCUACGGUAAUUUGGUUCAGUACGAGAGGAACCACCAAUUCGCAUCAUCGGUAUAGCCGCCGCCGGAAACGGCGAUGCGGCGAAGCUGCCAUGCGCCGGAUUAUAACUGAACGCCUCUAAGUUAGAAUCCAUGCCGGAAGGAAA
rnacentral:rRNA from 1 species